AGUUAACAAUCGUGUGAUCGUUGAAACAUGGAGGAGAUGUCAAUAUCAGAAACGCUUACUUAGAUAUUUUAUGUGGUUAAAAGUCACUUAAUAAUGAGUCUGACGUCUUCAGAUGAAGUAAAACCAGAGGAUAUACACAAUUUGUUGGAACAUUGUGUGAAAACUGCACAUAAAGUCAAAGAUGGAGACAUCGAGGGUGAAUUCAUCAUGGAGAGAUGUCUUGUAUUAUUUUCAAAAGAUUAUAGAUAUUCGGUGAUCAAGAACUUUAGUGGAGAGCUCUGUGGACAUUAUCCAAGUAAAGUGGUUUUCCUGGAGUACCAGCUGUCGGAGGAAGAAAGAAACAACAGAAAAAGAUAUGAUGAUGUACAGAGCAUGUAUGAUGUGCCUAAAAUGCGGGACCUGAUUAAGCAGGCUCGGUAUGCCAGAUGCAGAUCUCGAUUUCCAGUUCCAGUUAUUCUGUUCGAAGGCAAGCAUGUGUGCCGCUCAGCUACCCUAGCCAGUGGAGCUGAAAUGUUGGGACGCACUGGCCUAGAUUUCCUCUUCUCACCCCCUGACAGGCCACAGGAAGAGGUGACUGACCGUGGAGGGGGCUCGAACCCAGACACGCAUGACCGAUUCCGCGGACAUGACAUCAAAUUGUUAAAGUCGCUCACUAUCAAAUAUAUCUGUGAUUUAAUGGUGGAGAAAAAGAAAGUCAAGUUUGGGAUGAACAUAACUUCCUCAGAAAAAGUGGACAAGGAGAACCGCUAUGCUGAUUUUUGUAUUUUGUCUAUCCCUUAUCCAGGGUGUGAGUUCUUCAAGGAGUGGAAGGACAACUCGUAUUUUGGAGAGACAAUGAAAUUUGAUUGGAGUCAGGAUUAUGUUGAUGCGAAGUUGGACAUUCCAGAGGAUUCUUUACUGAACAAAUUGGGUGUGGAUUGGAAGAAAUAUAGGAAUUGGGACCUUAUUCAACAAACACAGAACUAUAUGAAGUUGUUUCUCCACAUCUUGAGAGAAGGGGACACAGGAGUCUUGAUCCACUGUAUCUCGGGCUGGGACCGGACCCCCAUGUUUAUCUCUCUCCUUCGCCUCUCCCUGUGGGCUGAUGGUGCCGCCCACACCUCCCUCUCCCCGACAGAGAUCUUGUACCUGACACUGGCCUAUGACUGGUAUCUCUUUGGUCAUAAUCUGCCAGACAGAGUAAACAAAGGGGAAGAGAUUCUAUUUUUCUGCUUUAAUUUCCUGACCUAUAUUACCUCGGAUGAAUUUUCUGUCAAAACUUCCAGGUAUGAUGUGUUCAUCCUGAACAUUCUUAACUCAACAUAGUCCUACAUUUGGUUUAAUGGUUUAUUCUUAGAAAUUUGUUAACUUUAAGAUGUUCAAAGGUUUACUUCAAUGAAUUUGAAUCAUGGAUCCGAUUUGUUUUUGAUGUGAUGUUCAAAACAAGGGCUACAUGUUGAAGGAUGUUUAUUUUGUACUUUCACUUUUAGUUCUGUCAGAAAAGUGAGUAGAACUGACUCUGAGUGCAAUAUGGAUGGAAUACUAUUAGAUACAGACCAUCGACGAUUUAGCAUACGUGGCAGUAACACGAGUAUAAGUAGUUUAGGUAGCUGUGGGUUUGAGAAUGCCCCUGUCUUCUUCACAACCAAUCCAGAAGAGGAUGCACAUUUUUCUAAUGGGAACCCCAGCGUCAGUAUAUCGGCGCGCUACUCCCCCGCGGCCAGCAGACUGACCUCGGACGUCUCCUCCCUCCACAAUGUCCACUCGAGCCCCUCCUCUUCCAGUCCAAUGGCGGUCCCCAACAGUCUCCGCAAGAUGGACGCCACUCGCUCCGCCUCCCCUGGCUGUGGCAGUUGGCAGGUGGUGUCUAGCUGUGGCAGCCUCCGCGGUCUGGUGUCUUCCCAUGAUUCUCCACACUCCGUAGACUCCAGCAACAGUUCAGGAAAACUGAGCUACUGCCAAGAAGCGGUAGAAUAUGUUGAAACUACAAGACAUUCAAAGUUGGAUGCAGUGCGGCGAAUCUUCCACAAUGCUUACGUCAAUAAGAUUGCCACGAAAGCAGGGGGCAGUGGAGGAAUUGUUAACUUUCUGGACCAGUUUGCUGAGAAAGUGGGAAUCAGAAGUGGCAGGACUACUCAAGUGUAGCACAUUGUAUGAAAGUUAGGAAGCUGUAGAUUUUGAGUCAAAGACUUUAGUAAGCUGAGCUGUUCCUGAUGCUAUGUGUGUUGAGGGUCCACAGCUUCUGUGUGUGAGUCGUGCCUGAACCUGUGAGAAUGUACAUUUUUUGUGAUAACUUCUAUAUGUGAUAUCAUUUUAUUUCAUCACCAUACAUGACAUUUUGUUCAUAUGAAUAGAUGGUUUUUAGUUUUGUUUUAUUGAAGAAUAUAUGGUUUUUAUGAAAAGCUGCUAGAUUUUGUUUUUCAUAGUCACUGAAAUUCUUUUUGUUAUGAAUGAUUACAUGAUUUAUUUACAAUAAACAGAAAUUUAUUUC
rnacentral:misc_RNA from 1 species